CCUACGGGAGGCAGCAGUGGGGAAUAUUGCACAAUGGGGGAAAGCCUGAUGCAGCCACGCAGCGUGAAUGAAGACGUAUUUCGGUAUGUAAAGCUCUAUCAGCAGGGGAGAAGAUGACGGUACGUGAGUAGGAAGCCCCGGCUAACUACGGGCCAGCAGCCGCGGUAAUACGUAGGGGGCAAGCGUUAUCCGGAUUUACUGGGUGUAAAGGGAGCGUAGACGGCUGCGAAAGUCUGAAGUGAAAGCCCGGGGCUCAAACCCGGGACUGCUUUGGAAACUGUGUAGCUAGAGUGCUGGAGAGGCAAGCGGAAUUCGUGGUGUAGCGGUGAAAUGCGUAGAUAUCAGGAAGAACACCAGUGGCGAAGGCGGCUUGCCGGACAGUAACUGACGUUGAGGCUCGAAAGCGUGGGGAGCAAACAGGAUUAGAUACCCCAGUAGUC
rnacentral:rRNA from 1 species